UACACUCUGCGGGAGGCAGCAGUGGGGAAUUUUGGACAAUGGGCGAAAGCCUGAUCCAGCAAUGCCGCGUGAGUGAAGAAGGCCUUCGGGUUGUAAAGCUCUUUUGUCAGGGAAGAAACGGUGAAAGCUAAUAUCUUUUGCUAAUGACGGUACCUGAAGAAUAAGCACCGGCUAACUACGUGCCAGCAGCCGCGGUAAUACGUAGGGUGCAAGCGUUAAUCGGAAUUACUGGGCGUAAAGCGUGCGCAGGCGGUUUUGUAAGUCUGAUGUGAAAUCCCCGGGCUCAACCUGGGAAUUGCAUUGGAGACUGCAAGGCUAGAAUCUGGCAGAGGGGGGUAGAAUUCCACGUGUAGCAGUGAAAUGCGUAGAUAUGUGGAGGAACACCGAUGGCGAAGGCAGCCCCCUGGGUCAAGAUUGACGCUCAUGCACGAAAGCGUGGGGAGCAAACAGGAUUAGAAACCCCAGUAGUCC
rnacentral:rRNA from 1 species